rnacentral:sRNA from 1 species
AGCAGCCGCGGUAAUUCCAGCUCCAAUAGCGUAUAUUAAAGUUGUUGUGGUUAAAAAGCUCGUAGUUGAACCUUGGGCCUGGCUGGCCGGUCCGCCUCACCGCGUGUACUGGUCCGGCCGGGCCUUUCCCUCUGUGGAACCCCAUGCCCUUCACUGGGUGUGGCGGGGAAACAGGACUUUUACUGUGAAAAAAUUAGAGUGCUCCAGGCAGGCCUAUGCUCGAAUACAUUAGCAUGGAAUAAUAGAAUAGGACGUGUGGUUCUAUUUUGUUGGUUUCUAGGACCGCCGUAAUGAUUAAUAGGGACAGUCGGGGGCAUCAGUAUUCAAUUGUCAGAGGUGAAAUUCUUGGAUUUAUUGAAGACUAACUACUGCGAAAGCAUUUGCCAAGGAUGUUUUCAUUAAUCAGGAACGAAAGUUAGGGGAUCGAAGACGAUCAGAUACCGUCGUAGUCUUAACCAUAAACUAUGCCGACUAGGGAUCGGACGGUGUUACUUUUUGAC